rnacentral:rRNA from 1 species
ACCCGCACAAGCAGCGGAGCAUGUGGUUUAAUUCGAAGCAACGCGAAGAACCUUACCAGGUCUUGACAUCCCUCUGAAUGGCGCUUAGCAGCGCAGGUCCUUCGGGACAGAGGAGACAGGUGGUGCAUGGUUGUCGUCAGCUCGUGUCGUGAGAUGUUGGGUUAAGUCCCGCAACGAGCGCAACCCUUGCCUUUAGUUGCCAGCACGUAAAGGUGGGCACUCUAAAGGGACUGCCGGUGUUAAACCGGAGGAAGGUGGGAUGACGUCAAGUCCUCAUGGCCUUUAUGACCAGGGCUACACACGUACUACAAUGGCCGAUACAAAGGGCAGCGACAUUGCGAAAUGAAGCCAAUCCCAAUAAAUUCGGUCUCAGUCCGGAUUGGAGUCUGCAACUCGACUCCAUGAAGUUGGAAUCGCUAGUAAUCGUGGAUCAGCAUGCCACGGUGAAUACGUUCCCGGGCCUU